rnacentral:rRNA from 1 species
AUUGAACGCUGGCGGCAGGCUUAACACAUGCAAGUCGAACGGUAGCAGGAGAAAGCUUGCUUUCUUGCUGACGAGUGGCGGACGGGUGAGUAAUGCUUGGGAAUCUGGCUUAUGGAGGGGGAUAACUACGGGAAACUGUAGCUAAUACCGCGUAGAAUCGGAAGAUGAAAGUGCGGGACCGCAAGGCCGCAUGCCAUGAGAUGAGCCCAAGUGGGAUUAGGUAGUUGGUGGGGUAAAGGCCUACCAAGCCUGCGAUCUCUAGCUGGUCUGAGAGGAUGGCCAGCCACACUGGAACUGAGACACGGUCCAGACUCCUACGGGAGGCAGCAGUGGGGAAUAUUGCGCAAUGGGGGGAACCCUGACGCAGCCAUGCCGCGUGAAUGAAGAAGGCCUUCGGGUUGUAAAGUUCUUUCGGUAUUGAGGAAGGUUGAUGUGUUAAUAGUACAUCAAAUUGGCGUUAAAUACAGAAGAAGCACCGGCUAACUCCGUGCCAGCAGCCGCGGUAAUACGGAGGGUGCGAGCGUUAAUCGGAAUAACUGGGCGUAAAGGGCACGCAGGCGGUUAUUUAAGUGAGGUGUGAAAGCCCCGGGCUUAACCUGGGAAUUGCAUUUCAGACUGGGUAACUAGAGUACUUUAGGGAGGGGUAGAAUUCCACGUGUAGCGGUGAAAUGCGUAGAGAUGUGGAGGAAUACCGAAGGCGAAGGCAGCCCCUUGGGAAUGUACUGACGCUCAUGUGCGAAAGCGUGGGGAGCAAACAGG